AGCCCAGAUGAUGGUCAAUGGAGUCUUGGCU
rnacentral:piRNA from 1 species